rnacentral:lncRNA from 1 species
GAGGAGGACCGACAGCGGCUUCGAAAGGUCUGGCUUCGUCAUCGGAUGCCUCAUCCAGGAAGUCGAGGUUCAGUUUGGGAAACUUUCCGACCACCUUCUCUGGGCAGAGUUCGAAACUCUUGAUGAAGGAGUCCUGACCGAACUAGACCUGUAGAUCCUUCAUUUCGGAGGAGGCCUUGAACUCCUCCACUGUUCAGGCCCCUGCCUCCGAGACCAGGGAUGGGAUCCACACUUUUAGCUCAGAAAUCUGCGCCUUCAGUUCGGAGACCUCGGCCUCUGCCUUCUUUCUCUUCUCCUCCAAGGUAGUCCU